AUUGAACGCUGGCGGCAGGCCUAACACAUGCAAGUCGAGCGGGGUUUUCGGACCUAGCGGCGGACGGGUGAGUAAUGCGUAGGAAGCUACCCGAUAGAGGGGGAUACCAGGUGGAAACGACUGUUAAUACCGCAUAAUGUCUACGGACCAAAGUGUGGGACCUUCGGGCCACAUGCUAUCGGAUGCGCCUACGUGGGAUGAGCUAGUUGGUGGGUAACGGCCUACCAAGGUCAUGAUCAGUAGGGGGCGUGAGAGCGUGGUCCCCCACACGGGUACUGAGACACGGACCCGACUCCUACGGGAGGCAGCAGUAAGGAAUAUUGGUCAAUGGGCGAAAGCCUGAACCAGCCAUCCAGCGUGCAGGAAGAAGGCCCUAUGGGUUGUAAACUGCUUUUAUCAGGGAAGAAACCUCUGGAUUUACUCCGGAGCUGACGGUACCUGAAGAAUAAGCACCGGCUAACUCCGUGCCAGCCGCCGCGGUAAAAC
rnacentral:rRNA from 1 species